CUACGGGGCGCAGCAGUAGGGAAUAUUGGACAAUGGGAGAGAGGGGGGGAAAGGAACACCGCGUGCACGGUGACUUCCUUCGGGUUUUACCUUUCUUCUAGAGGAGAUGAGAAGGGGGGGGAAGAGAUGAAUAAGCCUCGGCGAACUACGUGCCAGCAGCCGCGGUAAAACGUAGGAGGCAAGCGUUAUCCGGAUUUAUUGGGCGUAAAGCGCGUGCAGGCGGUCUAGCAAGUGGAUGUGAAAGCUCCCGGCUCAACUGGGAGAGGUCGUUCAAUACUGUUAGACUAGAGAAUAGGAGAGGGAGGUGGAAUUCCGGGUGUAGUGGUGAGAUGCGUAGAUAUCCGGAGGAACACCACUGGCGAAAGCGGCCUCCUGGACUAUUUCUGACGCUAAGACGCGAAAGCUAGGGUAGCAAACGGGAUUAGAUACCCUUGUAGUC
rnacentral:rRNA from 1 species